rnacentral:ncRNA from 2 species
AUGAACCUUCGGGGCAGGGUGAAAUUCCCUACCGGCGGUGAAGAUACGUUCGUGUAUCGCAGCCCGCGACUCCCGGCCUUUCGGCCGGGACUGACUUGGUGGAACUCCAAGGCCGACGGUAUAGUCCGGAUGAGAGAAGGUAAAG